GACGAACGCUGACGGCGUGCUUAACACAUGCAAGUCGAACGGAAAGGCCCCUUUGGGGGUACUCGAGUGGCGAACGGGUGAGUAACACGUGAGUAACCUGCCCUUGACUUCGGGAUAACUUCAGGAAACUGGGGCUAAUACCGGAUAGGAAUCCUUGCUGCAUGGUGGGGGUUGGAAAGCUUCGGCGGUUUUGGAUGGACUCGCGGCUUAUCAGCUUGUUGGUGGGGUAGUGGCUUACCAAGGCUUUGACGGGUAGCCGGCCUGAGAGGGCGACCGGCCACAUUGGGACUGAGAUACGGCCCAGACUCCUACGGGAGGCAGCAGUGGGGAAUAUUGCACAAUGGGCGGAAGCCUGAUGCAGCAACGCCGCGUGCGGGAUGACGGCCUUCGGGUUGUAAACCGCUUUCAGCAGGGGCGAAGCUUGUGGUGACGGUACCUGCAGAAGAAGCACCGGCUAACUACGU
rnacentral:rRNA from 1 species